CACGUAGGGGACGAGCGUUGUCCGGAUUCAUUGGGCGUAAAGCGCGCGUAGGCGGCUCGGAAAGUCGGUCGUGAAAUGCCGGGGCUCAACCCCGGGACUGCGUCCGAUACUCCCGAGCUGGAGGCAGGUAGGGGGAGAUCGGAAUUCCUGGUGUAGCGGUGAAAUGCGCAGAUAUCAGGAGGAACACCGGUGGCGAAGGCGGAUCUCUGGGCCUUGCCUGACGCUGAGGCGCGAAAGCUAGGGGAGCGAACAGG
rnacentral:rRNA from 1 species